rnacentral:tRNA from 1 species
AAUUAAUUAACUUAUUUUAAAGUAUUUGUUUUGAAAACUUAAGAAAAGAUAAAUUAUCUUAUUAAUUU